CGAGGGCACGCCUGCCUGGGCGUCA
rnacentral:rRNA from 5 species